UCGCCACCCUCCUCACCGGUGGAAUGGGAGCCGCCGGCCUCACCCCCAGGACGUCCUCUGCGCCCUUCCCUGGUUUUCUCCCACGGGUUUUUCAGUCUGCAUCCACGAGAACGCAUAUUCCUACAAUCGCGAGAACGCCGCCGGCCCUCCUCAAGUAUAUCAAUAUAUGUGGAUGGAGGUUCAUGUGACGAAUUAGUGGCUUCCUCACGUCAGUUUCAAUGCCUGAUUUUUUCCAUACGACGUCCCGACUGUCUUCGACAACUUCAGCGCCAACGUUGUUGUCCACGGGAACACCAUCAACCUGGGCUUGUGGGAUACAACAGGACAAGAGGACUACAACAAGCUACGCCCGAGUUUAUGUUUCAUGUAGUACAAUGAUGCCCGCAACUCCGGAGUAUGAUAGAAAUAGGUUGGCAAGGAUUAAAAAGUGCAUGGCUGAGGAGUCAGGGCCUCUUGCGGACUUACGGAACAUAGUCAACUGCUAUACAGUCAGAAUUCAAAUAACAGAGGCGCAAAGGUGAGGAUGGUGGCAGUGGCUCCAAAUAUGAGCCAAAUGAUGAUGAGGAGGUUGAUGAUGCAGAAGAGGAGCAUGAGCCAACUCUACAUAUGUCA